ACCCCGCCCCACCAUCCGACCCCGCCCCACCUGAGGUGUCUGACUCUGCUCCCUCUGAGGUCAGUGAGGCUUCUGUGACGGUGGACCAGGAUGCACCUGCUGCCCCUUCACAAGCAGACAAAGCGGACACCCCUCCCUCUCCCGCCAUCCUGGAAGCCGAGCAGAGCUCCUCUGAGCCAGCAGGAGAGAAAGAUAACGACCCAGCGUCCUCUGAGACCGACGCCGCCUCUACAGCAGAGACAGCCGAGUCCUCAGAGCAGCCUUCCUCAGGCUGAAGCUGCCGGGAACAAAGGGAGGAUGGAAGGAUAAAAGGAGGAAGAGGCGGACGAAGAUCAUCACACUACUCAUCACUGGAGUGACCAUCACACAUCUUUUAAAAAGGAAAAAAAAAUAAGAGAAAAAAGACUUAAACCAUCAUGAGGAAGAGGGGACUGUGCUUUGCCACCAUGGAACCGACCUCGUAGGUUCACAGCUCACUCGUCUGUCUGCCGCAGAGCUGUUCAAGUCUUUUUUUUUUUUUUUUCGGAUCAAUGGGUCUGAUCACCUCUGGCCGCCAUCUUUUGUCUCACUCUAUUUAAUGAGAUAUCAAAAUCUCAGUUACUGGUUUUCAGCGCUGAAAAGGGUUAAAAAAAAAAAAAAGUUUUACUCUCAGAGCGGAGUCUCUAGGAA